ACCAGCCAUGGCAACCAGCUCAGGUCCCCUUCCACACUGUGGAAGCUUUGUUCUUUCACUCUUUGCAAUAAAUCUUGCUGCUGCUCACUCUUCGGGUCUACACUGCCUUUAUGAGCUGUAACACCACGAAGGUCUGCAGCUUCACUCCUGAAGCCAGAGAGACCACGAACCCACCGGGAGGAACAAACAACUCCAGACGCGCCGCCUUAAGAGCUGUAACACUCACCCCGAAGGUCUGCAGCUUCACUCCUGAAGUCAGCAAGACCACGAACCCACCAGGAAGAACGAGCAACUCCAGACAUGCCACUUUAAGAGCUGUAACACCAUGAAGGUCUGCAGCUUCACUCCUGAGCCAGCAAGACCACGAACCCACCGGGAGGAACGAACAGCUCCAGACGCGCCGCCUUAAGAACUGUAACACUCGCUGCGAGGGCCCGCAGCUUCACUCCUCAUCCAGUGAGACCACAAACCCACCAGAAGGAAGCAACUCCGAAUACAUCCGAACAUCAGAAGGAACAAACUCUGGACGCGCCACCUUUAAGAACUGUAACACUCACCGUGAGGGUCCGCGGCUUCAUUCUUGAAGUCAGUGAGACCAAGAACCCACCAAUUCCAGACACAGUGUGGCAGGGAUUCUCCUCACCCUGGGCCUGGGGACGCUGGGCCCUCGCUAUUCCAGAGCGUGGCUGUGACAGGUGCGAUCCAAUCUGUCCCGUCCGGGGCCUGGGAAACUCGGCCGCCUAUCCCGCUGCUGCCCACUGCAGAGGCUGCCGGGAAAUACAGGUCCGUGGCCCGGGAGACUCGGCCGCCUAUCCCGCUGCUGCCCACACAGAGGCUGCCGGGAAAUACAGGUCCGUGGCCCGGGAGACUCGGCCACCUACCCCGCUGCUGCCCACUGCAGAGGCUGCCUGGAAAUACAGGUCCGUGGCCCGGGAGACUCGGCCGCCUAUCCCGCUGCUGCCCACACAGAGGCUGCCGGGAAAUACAGGUCCGUGGCCCGGGAGACUCGGCCGCCUAUCCCGCUGCUGCCCACGCAGAGGUUGCCGGGAAAUACAGGUCCGUGGCCCGGGAGACUCGGCCGCCUACCCCGCUGCUGCCCACGCAGAGGCUGCCGGGAAAUACAGGUCCGUGGCCUGGGAGACUCGGCCGCCUACCCCGCUGCUGCCCACGCAGAGGCUGCCGGGAAAUACAGCAGUCCUCCUGAGCAGCUUCUGACUCUCACCACUUCAUAUCAACUCUCUCGUUCUUGCUUUCCAGGCUCCUGGCUUCAUAUUCUGAAUUUUGCAUCUGCUUCUAAUACUUUUUUUUGAGACCAAGUUUCACUCUGUCACCCAGGCUGGAGUGCAAUGGCACAAUCCCGGCUCACUGCAACCUCCACCGCUUGGGCUCAAGCGAUUCUCAUGCCUCAGCCUCUGAGUAGCUGGAAUUACAGAUGCGCGCCACCACACCCAGUUUAUUUUAUUUUAUUUGUUUUAUUAGUAGACAUGGGGUUUCUCCGUGUUGGCCAGGCUGUCCUCGAACUCCUGACCUCAGGUAAUCCACCCGCCUUGGCCUCCCAAAGUGCUGGGAUUACAGGGUGAGCCACCGUGUCUAGCCUGCUUCUAAUACUUUUAAACUCGUUUGUGGGAUCCAAGCACGUCAAUCCCCCACUUGCUUCUUGUUUCUACCUUCUCUUACUGAAGUGUCUUCUGUGGUUUAAAACAAAAAGGAUUCUCUCCCUGGGGCUCACUCCUGUCACUGACACCACUCUGUCCCUACUCCAUGUCCAGUUAUUCCUGGGGCAUGUGAGAGCUCCUUCCAAAGGCCAUAUCCAACUCUCACGUGAAUUUACCACGUAUCAUCCUUCAAUCCUUGACCUUGGAAAUAAACUUGGAAUUAACUUGGAUCUCAUUUCCACUUAAAAUAGCCCUGGUGCAGUAGCUCGUGCCUGUGAUUCCAGCACUUUGGGAGACCGAGGCAGGGGAUUAUUUGAUCCCAGGAGUUUGAACCAGGCUGGGCAACAUGGUGAAACCCUGUCUCUACGAAAAAAUAACAAUUAAAAAAAUUAGCCAGGCAAGGUGGCACGCACCUCUAGUCCCAGCUACUUGAGAGGCUGAGGUGAGAGGAUCACCUGAGUCCAGAAAGUCAAAGCUACAGCCUGCUCUGUUCACACCACUGCACUCCAGGCAGGGCAACAGUGAGACCCUGUCUCAAAAACAAACAAACAAAAAAAAGAUCAAAAUAUGCUAAGCCUUUUGCCAUGAAAUCCCAGCCGUAAACUUAUUCAAAAAAAAUUAGAAAAAAUUAAUUAAAUGCAAAUGAGAUUAUUAUUAUAUUUUAAAAUAUAAGACAUAUAAAGGGAAGAUAUUGAAGACCAGGUCAAGCCACCAUAAAAUAAUCAAAAAUAAAAUAAUCAAAAGUCAACUAUGUUUCCUAUGUCAUAGAAAAACCUCUCUCAAAAGUUAGUAACUGAAAAUUGAAGACAUGCAGGAUUCUGUCAGUGUGGAAAGAAGUAAAUGAUUUCAAGAAUUGGCCCUAAUAAUAAACACAGAAAAAGAGAUCUUAGAAAGCCAUUAGGAACAACUGUAAAUACAAUAUAGUCAUAAGUAAGCCACGUUAAGUCUGUAUUUGCAUAAGUCAAACUGAUAAGAAAAUCAAAUUAUUUGGAAAAUUUUAUGUAUGAAAAAGGAGCCAAUGAGAAAAAACCAGAUUGUCGUUUGGAUCAUCUGGCUGGUCACCUGUAUUCACUGUACUAAUUGAAUAUUUUAUUUUACUUCACUCGAGUAGAUAAACCCUAGAUGAACUUAAUAAACCAAGUGAAAGAAAAAGG
rnacentral:lncRNA from 1 species